UGUAAAAAUAGAUAAGAUUUUUUAAUUAUAGCAUAGAUAUUAUUAGAUCCUAGAAUUAAGGCCCAAGGUAGAAUAGGUCGUUAUGAAAUUUUCCCUGUAUAAAUUCAUGUAUUGUGUUUGUGAAGAAGAUAUAGAAAAUCGGAAGAUCCUUCCUCCAUCUUCACUCUGUUAUCAAUCUGCAUUCCAAAGAUUGUUGAACUUGAUCUGAAUCCCUCGAAUCGAAGAUCUACGAAUGGGAGACAGAGAAAACUCUUCCAACUCAAACCCGGUGAUCGUCCAGAAUGUCUAGGACGCACUAUUCCCUACCGGAAUUACCCUUGACGAUACAAACUACCUGCUGAGGUCAGUUAAUGGAGAUGCACAUCGGGGCACGAAACAAAUCUGGUUUUAUCACCGGAAAAACACCGAAGCCCACCAAUGGCGAUGAGAAACAACUCGAAUCUUGGCUGAUCGACAACAAUCGUGUUAAGAGCUGGCUAAUUGAUUCCAUGAACCCGUCCCUGAUCCGCCGCUUUAUCCGACUUCAGACGGCGGCUGAAAUCUGGGAGGCCGUCGGGAAAACAUUCUACGACGGAAGUGAUAAAACUCAGCUAUUCGAAUUGAAACGCCGGUCUUUCAACACCCGACAGAAUGGGCGUGCUCUAGCGACGUACUAUAACGAAUUGGUGAGCAUCUUCGAAGAAAUUGAUACUUGAAUUACUACGCAAGAGGAGACUGUCGAUGGCACUGUGUCCGAAAAUAAGACAAUGAAUCGUCUCCGUGUACACAUUUUUUGGCUGGGUUGGACUCCAAGUUUAACCUAGCUAGAAGUGAAAUCCUAAGGAAAGACCCACCUAUGAGUUUGGAGUCUAGCUAUGCUUACAUUCGAAGAGACUCCAGCCAAAGACAAACCAUGGAAGAACCAAAAGUUGAACCUGAUAGCUUGGUAUAUAUAGUCUCACGCAACGGCCCUCAAAAGGGAAAUAACUCGAAUGGAAAGAAAAACUCGUUUACAUGUACUCACUGCAGAGAAGAAGGCCACUCAAAGCAAAGAUGUUACGAGAUCAUAGGCUAUCCGGAGUGGUGAAACUUCACGAAAAAACCUAGAAAAAAGCUAAGUCAAGCUACAGUUGUAACUUCUGCUCAAGAAACUCCGAUGGCUACACACCAGUACGACUGACUUCGGACAUAGAGAAACACAAGAUUCUUGGCUAUGGUACUAGAAGGGGGUGGUUGUAUUAUCUUGAAGAGAAUCAUAAGAGUUCGGCAUUUCAUACCGGAAUAAAGAAGGCAAAUAAGUCUAUGGCAACGUUAUGGCAGCGUCGUCUUGGGCAUUUGUCUUUUAAUUAUUUGAAAAAGUUGAAACUGAAUUUAUUUUUUAACCUUCAUGAAAGUGAUUUUAAAUAUGGUAUUUGUGAAUUGGCAAAGAACACAAGAAUUUUGUAUACUCCUAGUGAUAAUAAAGUCUUCAUUCCUUUUUU